UUUUAGGGUUCCGUAGCCAAAUGGCAAAAAACGGAACCCUUAUGGAUUCGUCAUGUCUGUCUGUCCGUCCGUAUGUCACAGCCACUUUUUUCGAAACAAUAAGAACUAUACUGUUGAAACUUGGUGAGUAGAUGUAUCCUGUGAACCGCAUUAAGAUUUUCACACAAAAAUAGAAAAAAAAACACUAGGUUCCCCAUACAUAGAACUGAAACCCAAAAAUUUUUUUUUCAUCAAACCCAUACGUGUGGGGUAUCUAUGGAGAGGUCUUCAAAAAUGAUAUUGAGGUUUCUAAUAUAAUUUUUUUCUAAACUGAAUAGUUUGCGCGAGAGACACUUCCAAAGUGGUAAAAUGUGUGUCCCCCCCCCUGUAACUUCUAAAAUAAGAGAAUGA